rnacentral:tRNA from 13 species
CGCCCCUGGUGGGACUCGAACCCACAAUCUUUGGCUUCGGAGGCCAACGCCUUAUCCAUUAGGCCACAGGAGC